rnacentral:rRNA from 1 species
GAUGGAGUCGAGCGAACAGAUAUGGAGCUUGCUCCUUUGACGUUAACGGCGGCGGGUGAGUAACACGUGGGUAACCUACCUAUAAGACUGGGAUAACUUCGGGAAACCGGAGCUAAUACCGGAUAACAUUUGCAACCGCAUGGUUCUAAAGUGAAAGAUGGUUUUGCUAUCACUUAUCGAUGGACCCGCGCCGUAUUAGCUAGUUGGUAAGGUAACGGCUUACUAGGCGACGAUACGUAGCCGACCUGAAAGGGCGCUCGGCCACACUGUAACUGACCCUGGUUCAACUCUUCAACGGAAGGCAGCAGUAGGGAAUCUUCCGCAAUGGGCGAAAGCCUGACGGAGCAACGCCGCGUGAGUGAUGAAGGGUUUCGGCUCGUAAAACUCUGUUAUUAUGGAAGAACAAAUGUGUAAGUAACUGUGCACGUCUUGACGGUACCUAAUCAGAAAGCCACGGCUAACUACGUGCCAGCAGCCGCGGUAAUACGUAGGUGGCAAGCGUUAUCCGGAAUUAUUGGGCGUAAAGCGCGCGUAGGCGGUUUCUUAAGUCUGAUGUGAAAGCCCACGGCUCAACCGUGGAGGGUCAUUGGAAACUGGGAAACUUGAGUGCAGAAGAGGAAAGUGGAAUUCCAUGUGUAGCGGUGAAAUGCGCAGAGAUAUGGAGGAACACCAGUGGCGAAGGCGACUUUCUGGUCUGUAACUGACGCUGAUGUGCGAAAGCGUGGGGAUCAAACAAGAUUAGAUACCCUGGUAGUCCACGCCGUAACGAUGAGUGCUAAGUGUUAAGGGGGUUUCCGCCCCUUAGUGCUGCAGCUAACGCAUUUA